rnacentral:rRNA from 1 species
UUCGCAAUGCCCGAAAGGGUGACGAAGCGACGCCGCGUGUGGGAAGAAGGCCUUCGGGUUGUAAACCACUGUCGGGAGUUAAGAAAUGCAAGGGUGCUAAUAGUAUCCUUGCUUGACUAAGGCUCCGGAGGAAGCCACGGCUAACUCUGUGCCAGUAGCCGCGGUAAUACAGAGGCGGCAAGCGUUGUUCGGAAUUAUUGGGCGUAAAGAGCACGUAGGCGGCUAUGUAAGUCGGUUGUGAAAGCCUUCCGCUCAACGGAAGAACAGCAUCCGAUACUACAUGGCUUGAGUGCGGGAGGGGAGAGUGGAACUUCUGGUGGAGCGGUGAAAUGCGUAGAUAUCAGAAGGAACGCCGGCGGCGAAAGCGGCUCUCUGGCCCAUAACUGACGCUGAGUGUGCGAAAGCUAGGGGAGCAAACGGGAUUAGAUACCCCGGUAGUCCUAGCCGUAAACGAUGGGCACUAAGUAGAGGGGUUUU